rnacentral:rRNA from 1 species
CAGUAGCCGCGGGAAUACGUAGGGUGCGAGCGUUAAUCGGAAUUACUGGGCGUAAGGCGUGCGCAGGCGGUUUUGUAAGACAGGCGUGAAAUCCCCGGGCUCAACCUGGGAAUGGCGCUUGUGACUGCAAAGCUAGAGUGCGGCAGAGGGGGAUGGAAUUCCGCGUGUAGCAGUGAAAUGCGUAGAUAUGCGGAGGAACACCGAUGGCGAAGGCAAUCCCCUGGGCCUGCACUGACGCUCAUGCACGAAAGCGUGGGGAGCAAACAGGAUUAGAUACCCCCGUAGUCCCUGUCUCUUAUAC